AGAGUUUGAUCAUGGCUCAGAUUGAACGCUGGCGGCAUGCUUUACACAUGCAAGUCGAGCGGCAGCGCGGGGGCAACCCUGGCGGCGAGCGGCGAACGGGUGAGUAAUGCAUCGGAACGUACCCUGGAGUGGGGGAUAACGCCGCGAAAGCGGCGCUAAUACCGCAUAUGCUCUGAGGAGGAAAGUGGGGGACCGCAAGGCCUCACGCUCUGGGAGCGGCCGAUGUCGGAUUAGCUAGUUGGUGGGGUAAAGGCCUACCAAGGCGACGAUCCGUAGCGGGUCUGAGAGGAUGAUCCGCCACACUGGGACUGAGACACGGCCCAGGCUCCUACGGGAGGCAGCAGUGGGGAAUUUUGGACAAUGGGCGAAAGCCUGAUCCAGCCAUGCCGCGUGAGUGAAGAAGGCCUUCGGGUUGUAAAGCUCUUUCGGUGGGGAAGAAAUUGCAUAGGCUAAUACCCUGUGUAGAUGACGGUACCUGGAGAAGAAGCACCGGCUAACUACGUG
rnacentral:rRNA from 1 species